GUUUCAGUUGGCUUUGGCUUUAAAAAAUUAAGAACAUUAUGUAUUAAAAUCAAAGUAAAGAUGCUGAAAAAUAAUUCUACUUGACGAUACUGUGAAGAGGGGGAAAAAGAAUUCAAAUUAAAGUUUCAUAAUAUGAUGCUGAUUAAGAAAAAAAAUCCUUUUGACCUGUAUCUUCAUUAGUUAUUUACAUUACUGACAGAACUGUGCAAAAUGCUAUGUUCCACUGUAGUAAGAUACGCUUUGUUAUUAUUUAAUGAUCUGACCACAGUUGACUAUCAUGAUAGGCUUCCCUCUAAAAAAGGCAUGUCAAACUCACAACGUCAUGUGAUGUCGCGCGACGUAUUGCAACUUGUUCCCCAUCGCCGGCAAUGGGGUGGGUGUGGUUUUGGCGUGAUACAUCUGGCCCAUGGGCCAGAAGUUUGACAUGCCUGCUCUAAAUCAUCCUUCCCCCAAAUGAUGUCUUCCAUAUCUAUUGGGAUCAGAGCCCCCAAAUUUCUUACCAUAUUUGUGUAAUUUGCAGAAUCCCAACGCAUCUGGAAACCAUCAGGUAGGGAAAAGCUCUAUCGAUUCACUAGUCUAGGGGAUGGUGCCUCUCUAUAUAAAUGGUGCCUCUCUACAUAAAUUAUUGCCCUUUUUACUAUAAAACUUAGAGGUAUUUGAAACUUAUUUUGUAUUUGAUAUUUGAACUCUUUUGGUUAUCGUAAUGAUUCAUAACAGAACAGAAUUUGACAAAGGGCUGUUGAGUUAUUCACUGGCUGUGGAUAUUCCAUAGAAUAGUGAACUUACAAGUAAGGAGUAUGGUCUACUCUAAGCUGAAUACUUGGCAAUCUGUCUGAACAAAAUAACAGUGUAUUGGUAACUUUAAAGGCACACUUGAAUUUAGAUGGAUAAUAAUUCAUGAUUUAUAAGAAGUUAUGCUUUCGGCAUUAUUCUGAUUUUCUCAUAGCACAGAGAUCUAAAUGGUUAGCAACUUCAGAUAAGUCCUUGUUUAACAAUCUAUUUCCUGCCUUUGUGCCCUCUAGAUAUGAUGGAACUGCAAAUCCUCAGAUUUAAUCUGGGAAUUGUGCAUGUUGCAAUCCAGGUAAGACUGUAGGGUAUGAAGUUGGAGAAGGUUAACCUAUAUUAUCCUACAAGAACAUUUUUUUGAGAACAGUAUAGGCUGUUUUAUGUCGAAUAGCAAAUUAAAUGAAGAUAAUAACAGCUGAAUGGAAAGUUCCAGUGAGGAUCUGUUAAUAACUUUGUUUCUUAAGAGACAAUAUGGAACGGAGAAAAUUUUGAAAAGUCUCUGAUUUUAAUAGCUGCCUGACUAAAGGGAAGAGAAACCACAAAUGCAACAACAAGGGAGCAAGAAAUAAAGUUUGUGUAAGAACGUUUGUAUGUAUUAUCAAAUGAGUAUUGGUCAAGGAAUCAUUAUGAAACAUAUGCAGCCUAUUGCCAUAUUAUAUGCAAUAACAUUCUGGGAUAAGGCUAAUAGCACUUACUAUCUGUGGGGGCUUUCCAUUCUCUGUGGAAUUCAAAUUACUAUCUGCUUGGGAACCACUGGGAUAAAAGGUUACUUUAACAUCUUGAACAUUUGAAGGGUUCCUGGGGGCAGCAGAAGAGUACUGGAUUAUAGAUACCUUUGACUUGAUUUAAAAAAAAUAUUUUUCUCACAUUCUUAAGAGAAAGAGUGCACUGUUGCUUUACCAUUGCUGGAGAGCAAAUGUGAUUUUCUUGCACUGAGACACAUAAAUACACACAGACUACAGAACAUAGAUUAUGUUAAUUGCAAUGGUAGUCAAGAUAAAAAUCAAGAGAGAGUGAGAGAAAUACUCAAAUCUCUGCUUAAUAUGGCCAGCCAUUUGAAUAUAAACUGUUAUAGCAAUGAAGUUACAAUUGGGUCUACUCAUAUUAGAACAUACCCCCAAACAUUUUCUGGCAAUAAUAAAACAAUAUUUGAUAUACGUUCUUUGCUAAAAUAAGAGGCAAUACUCUCAUACACAGGAGAACAUGAAAAUUAAUUAAGCUCAUGUGCUUAAGGUACAGACUCUUAAUAUUUAGACUUGCUAAGAAAAUGGACUAUUUGAUCCUUACUUUAUUAAAACAUUUCACCAAAGGCAGUAAUCUGGCUGCAGAAAUAUUUAAAUAUCUAUGUAUGUCCACUAAAAACUAUUUGGCAUAUCCCACAGGCAAGCAAAGACUUGCGUAGAAUAUUUUGCUUACUGUUUGAUCAUUUGGGGGUAUUUUGAUUAUUUGGGGGAUUUUUUUAGACAAAAACCCUGAAUAUUAGUGCAUGUUUUCUCAGGGUAGUCUUCUGAUAUUCAAUGGAGAUUAGACAACCAUUCUUUCUUGCCAAAAGUAUGCUCGGGAGUCUAGUAGCACCUUUUUAGACUAACAAAUUUUAUUAAAAGGCCUAAGCUUUUGUAAGGUGUCUCUUUUGAUUUCUGCUACCAUCAGCUAACAUGGCUCUAAUUUUAUUAUGUCUUUAAAGUAGUGGGUUCUCAACUUUUUCCUCACCACGGACCCUUGUUAAUUAUUUUUUGUGGUCACGGACCCCCAAGACUUAACUCGAGAGUUAAAUCAUAACAUUUCUUCAAGCCUUCACAGACCCCCUAUGUCAACAUCACGUCCCCCCAAGGGGACCGCGGACCACAGAUUGAGAACCAAUGCUUAGUUUAAAGGACUGAAUGCGCCUAAAGUAUGAGGACAAAAGAAGAGCUCUAACCUGGAUUUUAUUUGAAUGUCUCACUCUUUCACAUUUUUUUUUGCAUUUGUAUUUUGCAUUAUAUUAUGUAUAUUAACAUCUCAGUCUACAGUUUUGGAGGUCAAUAUGCUGAAAUGUCCUUUUAUGUGGAUUUUAAGAAUCUUUGUAAGCCUAUCUGUAGAAAUGAAACAAACAUGACACAUCUCUUCUACUUAUCUUGUCUAGGCAAAAGGCCCGAGAUAUGUUUGAAAUAAAAUGAGGAACAAUUACUUGUGCCUGCUAUGUAUCAUUCAUCCUUUCCCUUUAAAAUAUAAAAUAUUAGUCUGUUGAGGAGAGUAGUGUGAUAUCACAAACAUGCUAUUUAUUUGUCAAGGAGAGGGAGUGCUAUUAUCUAAUCUCCACAUUUGGUUUUACAGAUAACUGGUAUCAAUUUGAGUUGAAUGAAAUGGCUUGUAUCUGUUGAUAUUGCUAAUGCUACAUCCUGUUUUCACAAGAUAGCUGUAGCUGCCACAAGGAAGAAUACGUGUAAAGUGGAAAAUGUCCAAAGGAAAGAAAUCAAGGACGGGAAGAACUGCCUUAAUUCUUCUGAAUACUACUUUGCUUCCUAGAACUUAAGGAAAGUUCAGCCUUCUUUGUUUAUAGAACGGUUCUUGUCUAUUUCCUUCAAGGUCAUAACCAGGUAAGUAUAUUCUGGAGAAGCUAUAAUAAGAUAAAAAUAAGAACCUCUUUGUAUGCCAGUUUUUGUACAGAUACUGCUUUUUUAAAUUAAAAAAUGUAAGCAUAUUUCUUACAGGCAACUGAAAGUAUUUGAAGGAUUUAUCAAUUGUCUACACACCGAACAGAUAAUCACAAUAACUCUUCAAUAUAUCUCAUCAGUUCUGUAGCCAAAAUCUGAAUCUCUUGUCUGAGUAUCUCUUUUAAAAGUAGGAUACAAACUUUAGGAAUUUUGAGUUUAAUACUGGAUUAAUUUGAACCAAUCACAAUAUUUCAGUCACAUCUCUCUUUACAAUACGAGGAUAAAAUAAUGAAAUAAAGGCUAUUCCCACAAUUCUGAGUUCUUUGGAAAAAACAUAAUGAUGAAAAAUAUAAUACAUAAAUUGUAUCCACACACUAUGAAAUGUAGACACGUACAACACUGAGUUCAGAAACAAAUGCCCGAUCUUCUUGUGUCCAGAAGCAAAUAGAAGAAAAAAAGAACUCAAACUUCACAAGAAGAUCUACUCUUGUUCAACAAACCAGCUAGUUUAUUUGUUCAAAUCAGAUGCCAUAUUAGCAUGGCUCCAAAUCCAGAUAUAGUUGAGUGCUCCGAAGCUUUAGGAAUUUGCUAAAGGAAAUUUCAGGCACUAUUGGAUUAUUGACGAAGCAAAGUGAAACUAAAUAGCUUAUCCAAAAAUGUAUCUAUUCUAAGACCAUUGCUGGUACACAAACUUAAUAUUGUGAAUUUCUCAAUUCACAAUUAUAUUUUACGAUAAGAUGAAAAUAGUAUUACAACAGAGUAGUUAAGAAAGGGGUAUGUGAUUGUGUGUGCAUAUAUACAGAUACAUAUAAGUGAUUUGGAGCUUACUGAGUACACCCUUCCCAUGGAGAAAUGGUAUUGAAAGAUUAUAAAUAAUUAGAUAUAGUUUUUUUAACAAAAAACAUUCAGAAUGAAAAGCCUAAAGCUGAGCUUUACAUUCUAAUAGUCAGCAGGGUUUCCUGUAGCAAAGAUUUUUUUUAUUCUGGAUUGCUAGUGAAAUAUUCGAAUAUUAUGUACCUGUUUCUCAGAUUUAAUUGUGACUUUGACAAAAGCAAUACUUGUGAAAUAUUCUCUAUGUACCUCUUGAACACAAAAACAACAUUCUUGCAAAAAUCCAAGUCUCCCCCCCCCAAAAAAAAAUGAGUCAGAGAAAAAAUAAGUAUUCUAAGUCCAAGGCUGGUGUUUUUAUUCACUGUUUGGGGGAGCCACACUGAUGGAAAUACAGGUGUUUAUAUCUGGCAGAUUAAAAGUUUCUUUCUAUCUAUCCCUGUUUGUCAUAUCUUUGCCUUUAUCACCAUCAGAGCGCUUUAAAGAAGCAGCAAGCUAAACAUUUCUCACCAACAAGAUGUGCAGGACAGAUGUAUGGACCACUUCCUUUUCAAUGAGCAGAAGGGGAAAUUAGCAGGGAUGUCCACCCAGGGACCAUAGGACUUAAAACCACAAUUGUACUAAAGUUGUAGCCAAAUCUCUCAAAGGGACAGAAGUGUCCCCACAGAAAGCCUUUUAAACUAAAUCAGGACUGCACUUUUUAUCACCCACAAAGCCAAAUCUAGCCCAGAGGUGACUGCAGGAAAGGUCAAAGGGGAAAGGGGUAGCAGUGAAGAGAAAUGGCGGAAACAGGAUUGUGCUUUUGCACCACAAGUUCCAUCCCUUUUGUACAGGCACUGUGACAUUGCACAGAUGUUCAAAAAGAAUGGAGUUUGUGUCAGAAUAGUACAUUGCUCAUUUCAUUAUUUUGACAAAAGCAUCAGUUCUUGUAGCGAUCCCUAUUCCAGACUAUUAGCCAUAUGACUGAAUUUAAAUUAUCAUUAAUAUUCCUAAUUCUUAAUACUUCACAAUAAAAUUUAUAAUUCUAGUUAUAAAAUGUCCUCACUGAAUUUGUAAAGCCAUUUAUAAAAUAUGAUUAUUAAAAUUUGGAUAAUAUAUACUUUAUCAAUUUUUUUUAUUUGCAGUACAACCUAAUUUUCUUGGCUUUCUUCCACCCUCAUGGAUAGCAAUUUAAACCGAACCAGGUCUAUACAACAUAUGACCCAUCAAAGAGGUCACUGGUUGUGCCUGAAAAAACUUAUGUUGUGCAGUUGUGACCACAUGGCCUUUUGAAUGUGAUAUCUCAAUUUCCAUUAGAAGUCUUUGUCAUGAUUCCUCUUUUAAUUUUGGGGCAUAAUCUACAGGUAUUACUGUAGGAAAGAUAGAACUCCAAUUUCCACACAAUGCACAAAGAUCCAUCUCUUAAUAGGAGGGGAAAGGAUGUAUGACUCUUCCAACUACUCUUUUUUACCCUGGUGCUAAAUGGUCAGCCAUUACUUUGUAUGGGGAGUACAG